rnacentral:rRNA from 1 species
UCGACGGCAGCGGGGGCUUCGGCCUGCCGGCGAGUGGCGAACGGGUGAGUAAUGCAUCGGAACGUACCCAGUCAUGGGGGAUAACUACGCGAAAGCGUAGCUAAUACCGCAUACGCCCUGAGGGGGAAAGCGGGGGACCGCAAGGCCUCGCGUGAUUGGAGCGGCCGAUGUCGGAUUAGCUAGUUGGUGGGGUAAAGGCCUACCAAGGCGACGAUCCGUAGCGGGUCUGAGAGGAUGAUCCGCCACACUGGGACUGAGACACGGCCCAGACUCCUACGGGAGGCAGCAGUGGGGAAUUUUGGACAAUGGGGGCAACCCUGAUCCAGCCAUGCCGCGUGAGUGAAGAAGGCCUUCGGGUUGUAAAGCUCUUUCAGACGGAAAGAAAUCGGGUGGGUGAAUAUCCUGCCUAGAUGACGGUACUGUCAGAAGAAGCACCGGCUAACUACGUGCCAGCAGCCGCGGUAAUACGUAGGGUGCGAGCGUUAAUCGGAGUUACUGGGCGUAAAGCGUGCGCAGGCGGUUGUGUAAGACAGGUGUGAAAUCCCCGGGCUUAACCUGGGAACUGCGCUUGUGACUGCACGGCUAGAGUACGGCAGAGGGGGGUGGAAUUCCACGUGUAGCAGUGAAAUGCGUAGAUAUGUGGAGGAACACCGAUGGCGAAGGCAGCCCCCUGGGCCGAUACUGACGCUCAUGCACGA